CGCGGCGCCGCCUACCUCGCGAGGCUGCGGCUGGGGCAGAAAUCCGUCUCUGUGAGCGGAGGAGGGUGUGCUUAUGCGAGAGCAGGUUUUGGGAGCUCACUAAAGCAGGCUACAUGGUCCAUCUGCAAGUUUUUUCAAAUUGUCACAAAUCUCCAAAAAAUGUUUCAAUAUAUUUAUUGAAAAAAGUCUAUAUAGAAGUGGACCUGCACAGUUCAAACCUGCGCUGCUCAAGAAUCAACUGUAGGCCGGGCGCAGUGGCUCAUGCCUGUAAUCCCAGCACUUUGGGAGGCUGAUGCGGGCGGAUCAUGAGGUCAAGAUAUCAAGACCAUCCUGGCCAACAUGGUGAAACCCUGUCUCUACUAAAAAUACAAAAAUUAGCUGGGCAUGGUGGUGCAUGCCUGUAGUCCCAGCUACUCGGAAGGCUGAGGCAGAAGAAUCACUUGAACCCGGGAGGCGGAGGUUGCAGUGAGCCGAGAUCUCGCCACUGCACUCCAGCCUGGUGACAGAGCAAGACUCCAUCUUAAAAAAAAAAAAAAAAAAUCAACUGUAAAUGAAAAUUCUACAAGUGAAAAAGACAAUAUCUAAAAAUUCAUUGGAUGGGCUUAAAGUAGAUUAGACCAUGAUGAGAUAAGAUCAGUGAAACUUAAGAUGGGUCAAUAAAUAUUAUUCAAACUAGAGUACCAAGAGAAAAAAAUCUGUGGGAUAAUAUCAAGUGGUCUAUUAUACAUGUAAUUAGAAUCUCAGGGCUAGGUGGGAUGGCUCCUGCCUGUAAUCCUAGCACUUUGGAAGGCCAAGGCAGGAGGACUGCUUGAGCUCAAGAGUUUGAGACCAGCCUAGGCAACAUAGGAAGACCCUGUCUCUACAAAAAAAAAUACAAAAAUUAGCCAGGCAUGGUGGCGCACACUUGUAGCCCCAGCUGCUCAGGAGGCUGAGGCAGGAGGAUCACUUAAGCCUGAGAGGUAGUGGUGGG
rnacentral:lncRNA from 1 species